ensembl:misc_RNA Y_RNA Y RNA
GGCUGGUCCAGCAGUAGUGAGUUAUCAGAACUUACUAACAUUAGUGUCACUAAAGUUGGUGUACAACCCUACCCUCCCCCCAGCUAAAUUUGACUGGCUUAAA